UACGGAGGAUCCAAGCGUUAUCCGGAAUCAUUGGGUUUAAAGGGUCCGUAGGCGGUCUUUUAAGUCAGAGGUGAAAUCCUACAGCUCAACUGUAGAAUUGCCUUUGAUACUGAAAGACUUGAGUUAUUGUGAAGUAGUUAGAAUGUGUGGUGUAGCGGUGAAAUGCAUAGAGAUCACACAGAAUACCGAUUGCGAAGGCAGAUUACUAACAAUAUACUGACGCUGAGGGACGAAAGCGU
rnacentral:rRNA from 1 species